rnacentral:tRNA from 1 species
GGAGAGAUGGCCGAGCGGUUUAAGGCACCGGUCUUGAAAACCGGCGUGGCAGCGAUGUCACCGUGGGUUGAAUCCCUCUCUCCGCCA